UAGGUAGCACCUUGCACCGGAGUUUUCUUCGUCUUUGUGUCUUCCUCUCAUCUUCCCCAUGUUUCAGGGUGAAAUAGCGGUUCUUCCCCACGCGGUGCUCUCCGAUAUAGUAAAUUAUUCUAUUCUGUUCCUCCACUAAUCCACUCUCCAAGGUUUUAAUCUUUCAGGUUUUUGCUGCUCAUCGCUGGAUCCUUUCGUCGUCGUCCAUGUGGUUCCUGUCCUUCUGGACCCCUUGUUUUUCACACUGCUUGUUGGAUCUCCUCCACCUUAAUCCUCCACCUUCAGCACCACCAGUCAGGUGGAGGAAGAUAAGAGAACCCAGUUGACAAAAAAAGUAAGAACAUUUAUAUCUACGCAACAUGACUAAUCAUUUCAAAUAUAGCUGCAGAGAGCUGAGCUGAAAGUUAGAAACUGUCGCUGUCUGCUGUCCAUGCAUAUUUUCCUCCCUAACUUUAUCUUCUCUCUUUAUUUCAUUUCUCUGUGAACUCAUGUGAUGACUGGAGUUGACCAACAAUUAAAGCAGAAGAAGACCUGCUCCACCUGCUGAUCUACUGGUUGUAACAGCUUGUGGGAAAGCAUCACUGGACCAAUCAGGAGAGAGAAGACGGAGAGGACUGAGGACUAAAACGAAAAUACUCUGCCUGCCAAAAAAGGCAGACGAUCCAAUGGCCCCAGGUUUACACACCAUCUGCUGGUUUGAGGCAGACUGACCGCUGGGGAGAUGGACCUCACCUGGCACCAUUACUCUGGAUGUAACAGCUCGACUCUCCUGUCCAUUAAAACAUCAAUGACUCGAGAAGCGGACAGCGAGGUUUCUGGUGCCUGGCUGGAGACGAGAUUCUGAUUAUUCAAGGGCCAAAA